CUCGAUGCUUAUUUAUGAGCAACCAUAAGAUGUAAGAACACAACACAAUAAAAAUAAAACCCACAAUCCCAGCAGACACUAUCAUUAUCGAGUUGUUCGUCAGGCCACAAAGAUUGUAACUUUCUCGCAUAAUAAUAAAAUUUCCACCAGAAAAACACAGAAAUAUACCACAUUUUACCAAACGGGUUCUCAUAUAGUUAACCCAAAACAUAUACAUACACGCAUAUAUACAAAUAGUUUAAACGAAUAUAUUAAUUCAGUUACUUGAAAAUUGCGCUGGAAGCUGUAGCGGAGUUCGGGAUCGAUUUCAGUGAGGGAUUCUUCUGCAACGUCGUCGUUUUUAUACUUCUUUCCAGGGACGUGCAUUUUGGGCGUUGUACCUGGCUGGUUCGUCACUUUCAAUGUCUUUGAACUUCUCUUCCUUUUCCUCCACCCUCCAUGGACGCCAGCAGCUCUUUUUUACCCUUCGCCAUUAUUAUCUGAAUUGAACUGAUAGGUUUUGGCUCUGUCCCUUCUCAAGGGAAUUGGAGGAAGUGGACUGAAUGGAGAGUACGAUGUCGUUUGGCUUGUAG
rnacentral:lncRNA from 1 species